CUCCCAUUAACCUUUAAAGAAGAUUCAGCAGCCUGUCCAGCUCAACGACAUUCAGCAUUUCCUACCUGGUCUGGGCAAUUCAUUAGCCCUAAUUAGAGAAACAACUGACGAGACUGCAGCUACUGAGAAGCCCAGUUCCUAGGCCUGUGCUGCUGAUCUCAUAUCCAGAGUGCCAGGACCUUUGGGAGCUCACAGCUGAGACAAACUCUGACACAUUUCAGCAGGAGACAGAGGAGACUGAGAGGAUUGCUUGGGGAUCUUCCAACUGGAGCAAGAGCCAAGGGGAUGCAGUCCUGGCAUCCUGGCAGGGCAGAGGAGGGCAAGAGGAGAUUUCCAGGCCAGUGGAUCUCAGACUCUGACCGGCGCCCCACAGAGCCCUUCUGCACACUGCCGCCCCUGCACUGGGGCCUGGGAGGGAACUGGCCCAGAUGAGGAUCUCGUCUCUCUAGAGUGGCCCCCAGAAGGCGUCCGAUGGAAGCCAUUGCCCAAAGGAGGAAGGGCACAUCUGUGACAACCUGCCCUGCAUCAGAAGAGGGCUAAAGGGCUGAACUGGGGAUCCAAGCCCUGUGACGAUGUCCUGCCCCAGGCAGGUAUUUGGUGGGGCACAUCACCUCCUGUCAGUCUGACCUGUGCUGUCUUCUAAACUUCGGCCAUAGUGUAUCUAGCUUGUCGUCAAGUCAAGUGGGCAGCAGCCUGUGGGUGAGGCUCUUUGAGACUCCAGGAGGGAAUGGCCCAUGCACUGCGAGAAGGCACCAUGCCAAGGAAACCAUUGCAGAGCCUGGCACUGCCGGGCAUGGGUUAGCGGGGCCUGUUGGCAGCCUCCCCCUUGAGCAUCUCCUGAGAUCACAGUCUGGAUGGAGACUCUGAAUUCUGCUAGUUGACGGCAUGUGCCCAGCUCAGAUAAAAGUUUUUGUGGUUUAGCUUCGUGGGCAGAGGAGGCGCCGUGGAGCCAAAGAAGAAACAAAUGGCCAUGAGAGGAGAACUUGGCAGGGACCAGAGCAGCAGCUGGGUGGGAGAGCUCCCCAAG